AGUGGAAACUCUGGAGUUAAGCGCAGGCGUGCGGAGAACCUGGACCCCGUCCGAGCUAGCCGCGGAGGCCGGAGCACCUACUUAUUGCAGUCCGUACAUCUACGGCGGCGUGCGCUUCCGAGUUGCCUGCUUCCGGCCGGAACCCGACGCCCAAGCGGGCGGCUGUCGUCGCCACCAGCCGGGUCUGCCCGCCACCUGUUCGACGAAAUGCGCCUGCGAGAAUGCCGCAGCCUCGUUGUUUAAGCAUCAUGAAGGUUGUAUCAUCUGCUAUGCUAUUAAAAUGACACCAAGUGCCUUAGGCCUCAUGUCUUCAAUCCAAUUCCCACUCGCUGUUAGACUAGCACCUAGCACGGCUGAAAUACCUUUGCAGUCAUCAUACAGUACGAAAUAGGAAGGCCCUAUGUUUUUGCUGUGGAUUGUCAAUAUACGGAUUUUGUGGAGAAGCUCAUUCCCACCAAAUUGUGGAUUGUGGGGUUUCGUAGUACAACGUGGACUAUGGAUUGUGAGAAUCAGCUUUUAAAUUGCGACUGUUUGUUUUUGUUUUUGCUUUUGGGGCUAGAAUCCAUAAUUAGAAUAAAAAACAAACAAGGCCUUAGUCCUUGAUGCCAUAGUGUAAACAACGGUUUGAGUUUGAUACAUUCUGUAUCCUUGUAUCAUUCAAAACUCUUAUUGCUCUUCUUUUCCGUCCGUAUUACUAUCUCUUCCUCCAAACUCGCUAACCCUGUCGCGAGCAAAUCCUUCACUGCCAAUGCUGAGCUUAGCACCACAUGGAAAAACAAUCCAUCCCUCCUCCACAAUAGAUUUUCUGACAACAAUUUCUCCAUCCGUCUCAUCCUCCCUCGCCCUCAUGGCACCAACAUGUAUUUAAAUGUCGACUCAUAUCUUGACAGUGUUCCGUCAUUUGCCUGUGGCUUCUUCUGUGCAGGACCUGCAGCCACCUGUGAUGCCUACUUCUUUUCCAUAUUUAUUGUCAAUGCCUUCAGCAUGGUUGCUGUUUUGUACUUGGAAUCACCCCAGGUAGUCUGGUCCGCCAACCGUAACCGACCAGUCAGAGAGAAUGCCACUGUUCAAAUUACUGAACUUGGUGACCUGGUGCUCUAUGACGCUGAUGGCACACUGGUCUGGUUCACCAAUACCGCCGACAAGUCUUUGGUCGGCAUGAAUCUUACUGAGUCAGGCAAUCUGAUGCUUUUAGACCAUACAAAUACUGAAGUAUGGAGGUCCUUCGAUCACCCAACUGACACACUUAUCAUUGUGCAGAUGCUACAAGUGGGACAGAAACUCAUUGCAAGCAGCUCAGAGACAAAUUGGGCCGAAGGAAAAUUAUAUCUCGCAGUACUCGCUGACGGUAUGUAUGCAUUUGCCAGAGUUGACUCUCCUCCAGCAUAUUAUCGAAGCCCACGGUGGGAAUGUUAUAACAAACAUUUCAACAUACAUCGCACUCAAGAAUGGCAGCCUGGAGGUUUUCACUUCAUUCCGGGGGACAGAGGCACCAGAUUAUCACAUCCAGCUGCCCAUGGAUUACUAUGGACUGGAGUUUGUGAGGCUAGAUUGGGAUGGGCACUUGAGGCUGUACCAGUUAAAUGACAGCUGGGUGACUUCAGAUAUUCUGGAUAUAGCAGAUCCCUGUUCUUACCCUUUAGCUUGUGGGAAAUAUGGUAUCUGUUCAGAUGGACAGUGCAGCUGCCCAGAUGCAGUCCUCAGGCAGUCCGGAUUAUUUGAACUGGUUGAUGCCAGGUAGCUUAAUCGUGGCUGCUUCCUAACAGAUUCACUGUCUUGUGGGACAGCACAAAAGGCAAGGUUUCUUGCUGUUCCCAACACCACUCACUUCAAUAUUAUCUACAAUUGGACAACAAACGAAGAGCACUGCAAAUCAUCAUGCUUGAAUGAUUGUGCUUGCAAGGCAGCAUUUUUUCUUUAUAUGGACACUUCUUCUGGUUUCUGUUUUCUUGCAUCUGACAUCUUCUCAAUGAUAAGUGUAAAGGAGCAAAGUUAUUCAAGGAAUUUUAGUUCUUAUGCAUUUUUUAAAGUUCAGGAGCACAAACAUGUGCUAUCUAAGGAAAAAACAGCCAUUCUCUUGGUUGUUGGUUCUUCAACUUUUGUUGCUUCAGUUGUUGUCUUGGUGCUCAUAGUUCUAAGAAGAAAGAGUGCAGAACCAUUAGAAGAUGGAAACAUUAUUGAUCAGUUGCCAGGGCUGCCCACAAGAUUUUCUUUUCAGACUUUGAAAUCGGCAACCGGAUAUUUCUCAAGAAAAAUUGGGGCAGGAGGAUCUGGUUCCGUUUUUGAAUGGCAUACUGGUGACAAGCAGGUUGCUGUAAAGAUAUUGGAUGGCAUAAAUCAGGGGGGAAGGGAGUUCUUAACGGAGGUUCAGACGAUUGGAAGCAUCAACCACAUACAUCUGGUGAGUCUAAUUGGAUUUUGUGCUGAGAAAUCGCAUAGGCUGCUUGUCUACGAGUACAUGCCUAAUGGAUCUUUGGAUAAGUGUAUUUUCGCAAAGCACCAAGCAGCCCCACUUGAUUGGAAAACCAGACUGAAGAUCAUCACUGAUGUAGCAAGGGGGUUAGCUUAUAUUCACAGUGACUGCCAGCAAACAAUAGUUCAUCUGGACAUGAAGCCACAAAAUAUCCUUUUUGGUUGAGAUGUUCGGUGCUAAGGUAUCCGACUUUGGGCUAUUGUGAACAAAGCACCGUCAUGACUAGAUUGAGAGGCACACUGGGUUACUUAGCCCCUGAGUGAUUGACUUCUUUCAUCACCGAAAAAGUCGAUGUGUAUAGCUUUGGCGUUAUCAUCAGGGAAAUUUUGUGUGGGAGAAGGAACUUGGACUACUCGCAGCCUGAAGAAAGCCGACAUCUUGUCAGCAUGCUCCAAGAGAAGGCCAAAAGUGGCCAGCUGAUGGAUCUCCUUUCUGCCGCGCUCCACUGAUAUGGGAUUGCAUUUCGAUGAAGUGUUUCGGGUGAUGAAUCUGGCAAUGUGGUGCUUGCAAGUCGAUAGCAACAGAAGGCCUUCCAUGUCCACAGUGGUCAAAAUCCUGGAAGAUGAUGUGACUCUGCAGAUUGAGUCUGUUCUUUCAGGGCCGAGAUGAGGUUACACUAUCCUAUACAAUAGCAAUUGCAGACUUGCAGCCCAGUGCUGUAUGCACUGAUAUCAGAAGUUUCUUAUUGUACCAAGAUUUGUACAUCCAAAUUGCAUUCUUAUUAUUGAACAUGGAGGCAUCUGAAAGACUCUGAAGUUCUCUCUUUCUUCACACGGAAUUUCCAAUGACCUAAAUCGGCAUGAGUUUGAAAUUGUUUGUUUGUACC